rnacentral:rRNA from 1 species
UACGUAGGGGGCAAGCGUUGUCCGGAAUCAUUGGGCGUAAAGAGCGUGUAGGCGGCCCGGUAAGUCCGCUGUGAAAGUCCAGGGCUCAACCCUGGGAUGCCGGUGGAUACUGUCGGGCUCGAGUCCGGAAGAGGAGUGUGGAAUUCCUGGUGUAGCGGUGAAAUGCGUAGAUAUCAGGAGGAACACCGGUGGCGAAAGGCGCCUAUCUGGCCCGAUACUGACGCUGAGGCGCGAAAGCUAGGGGAGCAAACGGG